rnacentral:rRNA from 1 species
CUAACACAUGCAAGUCGAGCGGUAACAGAAAGUAGCUUGCUACUUUGCUGACGAGCGGCGGACGGGUGAGUAAUGCUUGGGAACAUGCCUUGAGGUGGGGGACAACAGUUGGAAACGACUGCUAAUACCGCAUAAUGUCUACGGACCAAAGGGGGCUUCGGCUCUCGCCUUUAGAUUGGCCCAAGUGGGAUUAGCUAGUUGGUGAGGUAAUGGCUCACCAAGGCGACGAUCCCUAGCUGGUUUGAGAGGAUGAUCAGCCACACUGGGACUGAGACACGGCCCAGACUCCUACGGGAGGCAGCAGUGGGGAAUAUUGCACAAUGGGCGCAAGCCUGAUGCAGCCAUGCCGCGUGUGUGAAGAAGGCCUUCGGGUUGUAAAGCACUUUCAGUCAGGAGGAAAGGUUAGUAGUUAAUACCUGCUAGCUGUGACGUUACUGACAGAAGAAGCACCGGCUAACUCCGUGCCAGCAGCCGCGGUAAUACG